UACACACCGCCCGUCACACCAUGGGAGUUGGUUCUACCUGAAGACGGUGCGCUAACCGCAAGGAGGCAGCCGGCCACGGUAGGGUCAGGCGACUGGGGUG
rnacentral:rRNA from 1 species